CAGCUUCUCAAUAAAUCUGUUCAGCUGAGCAUCAUUGAGGAACUUGCAAGCAAAUGCCACUCUGUCUCGUACUGCCACAUUAUUUUCAUACAAAACACCGUCAUAUGAACCAGACUCACUUGUCAGAAAAGCAAACAUAGCACACAGGUAGGGAUUGUUCAGUUGCAGUCUUAAAGUACUGCACAUUUCUCUCCAAAGUGAGUUCUUCUCAUCUGUAUAGCCUGACAGAGCCAUUGCUACGACAUUAAGGUUCAGAUCACCUUUUCCUGAGGAAGCACCUUUAUUUAGAAUUUGUAUUGCCCGCCGUAUGUCCAAAUUGAAUAGUGCUACAGCAGCAGCUCGCUCCCAGUCUCCUUCUUGUUCCAAUGAAUUUAAAAAAGGUUCCACAUCUAAGUCUAUUCCCUUCUUUAUCCACCCAC
rnacentral:lncRNA from 1 species